CCCAGAGGAAGAGCGCAGGCAGCUUCAGUGGAGGGGAAAAACUCCUCUGAGGAAGAAGAACCUCAAGCAGACCAGACUCAAAGGGGUGACCAUCUGCUUGGGCCAUGCUACAGACACAAAUUACAGAACAAUCACAAAACAAAUAUACAGGAAAUGUUCCCGG